rnacentral:rRNA from 1 species
UACGAAGGGUGCAAGCGUUACUCGGAAUUACUGGGCGUAAAGCGUGCGUAGGUGGUUCGUUAAGUCUGUCGUGAAAGCCCCGGGCUCAACCUGGGAAUGGCGAUGGAUACUGGCGGGCUAGAGUGCGGUAGAGGGUGGUGGAAUUCCCGGUGUAGCAGUGAAAUGCGUAGAGAUCGGGAGGAACACCAGUGGCGAAGGCGACUACCUGGCCUGUUUCUUGACGCUGAGGCGCGAAAGCUAGGGGAGCAAACGGG